AGUAACGCGUGGGUAACCUGCCCUUAAGUCUGGGAUACCAUUUGGAAACAGAUGCUAAUACCGGAUAAAAGCUACUUUCGCAUGAAAGAAGUUUAAAAGGCGGCGUAAGCUGUCGCUAAAGGAUGGACCUGCGAUGCAUUAGCUAGUUGGUAAGGUAACGGCUUACCAAGGCGAUGAUGCAUAGCCGAGUUGAGAGACUGAUCGGCCACAUUGGGACUGAGACACGGCCCAAACUCCUACGGGAGGCAGCAGAC
rnacentral:rRNA from 1 species